rnacentral:rRNA from 1 species
GAGAGUUCUCCCUGAGACUUAGAGUCUCCUGAAGGAACGUUGAAGACGACGACGUUGAUAGGCCGGGUGUGUAAGCGCAGCGAUGCGUUGAGCUAACCGGUACUAAUGAACCGUGAGGCUUAACCUU